rnacentral:misc_RNA from 1 species
CUUGUCUCUGCCAUCUCUCUAAUUUCUCAAAAAACCUUAUCUUUCUUUCUCAGUCAUUUAUGACAUCAAUGGCUAUCAAACGACGGCGUUUAUCUGACUUCCUCAGCCGACGUCGUUUUAUAUCAGGAGCCUUGAUUUCCGAGUUCAAGCCAUGGCGACGCGGAUCCCUCUGGAUUUUCAGAGUUUUCAUCCAACGGUUCAGCUUUGAUCUCUGACCCCGUCUCCCCUUCUUCCGACUGUACAUGAUUCUGCCCAACCAUCUCUUCCUCGUCUUCUUCCUCUCUCCUCAUCCGCUUCACCCCGAUCGAUACCCCGAACAGUUUCGGCGUCAUUCCUGCCGCCGCCGCUGCCGCUGCCGCUGCCGCUGCCCCUGCCCCUGCCCCUGCCCCUGCCCCUGCCCCUGCCCCUGCCCCUGCCCCUGCCC